CACCGCCCGUCACACCAUGGGAGUCAGUUGCUCUAGAAGUCGGUGCGCCAACCUCGGAGGCAGCCGCCUAAAAGAGUNACUGGUGACUGGGGUG
rnacentral:rRNA from 1 species